UUUCUUAAAUCAUCAAUUCAAUCCAGUCUUUUUUUUGGAAGUUCUGGUUUUCAGUUGUUUUAGUUUGGUUCAAUUCGAAACUGAACCAAUCAAAUGCUCAAGCCUAAUUUCAAGGUUUCUCCAAGAGGUAGAAGAGGGAGUAAUAUUCAUUACUGCUGCAAUGGCAACAACACCAAGGAAGGCAGAAGACAAAAACAGAUAGCCUUCUUCUUAUUCGGUGGGGUGGGUGUAAGCUAGGUUGGUUUGGGUAGGAAUUGACAAAGUUGAGGAGUGGAGGACUAAAGAGAGAGACUGGGAAAAAAGAGAGAGAAUGAUAUAGGGAGAGAGAUAACAUGAAUUCGAUUAUGGCUAAUUAGGAAAAAUUUAAAUCUCUUAAUUUUCUUAAUCUAAUUAAGGGCAUUUUCAUCUUUCUGCAAUUCUCCAAAGGCUAAAACCACUUAAAUUGAAUGGAGGGACCUACUAGUUAAUAAAAGCAAAUGUGAAGGAGUAAAUAGUCUAUUUUUCAAAAUACAAGGAUUAAUUAGUAAACAAUGUCAAAAUCAAAAGACCCCAUAAUGAUGGCCAAAAGCAUAUUCCUCCCCCUGAACUUUUACUUAAAAGUCAAUUUGCCUCUUAAUUACAAAUAAGCCAAUUUGCCCUUUAAUUUAAAUAAUUGUCCGUUUGACUAUCCGAACUUUUAUUUUUUGUACUUGUUUAACACUUGUAGGGAGGAGAGGGAAUGCGUGAAGGCAAGCUCCAAUGACAUGGCAAAACCCAUCUGAUGUGUUAUCCACAUACUGCUAUCUAAGCAAAAUUAUGUUCAUUUAGUUCAAUUUUUUAAAUUAGGGGCGCAAAUUGGUUCACUUUUAAAUUAAGAAAUUAUAUAUUCAUUACCACCACCAGCAGUAACCUUAUUAACGUAAACUGUAGAUUUGUACAUGUUUUCAUCAAGAAGUUAGACAUUUGUGGGGGCUUUGUAGUUUCAUCAUUUUGAGUUUUCUAUUCACACAAUGAAUUUUUGGAUUUGAGUUUUAAUUUGGCUAUGUUUUUUUUAGCAUUGUACCGGCGGCUUGAUUUUAAUUUUGCGUGGAGAUCGUAUGUUUUACAUUAUAAAUUACAUGAAGACCUCUCACUAUAGAGCAAAGUCCGAAUCAUGGGGAUAAAUUGCAUCAGAACCUUCAAGAAAGAGGAGUUCAACAAGGACUACAUUUCUUCAUGCAUAAAUACACGUCCAACAAGUCCAUACCCACAAGGAAUUUCCAUGGACCGCAACAAUGGCGCUAUCUGUGGGAACAACAUAAAAAGUUGUGUGUCUUCCCCUUUAAUUUUGUCAUGAAAACUUACUCAAACAGCACAUUCAAAUGAGGAAAAGGAAUUGGAUGGCAACUUAGUCAAGAAAUUUGUUAGUGCUGCCCAAAAAAUUAUAUUUGAAAGGAGUCACGGAGCAUUGUCACCAAAUUCAUUGAUGGUUGCACGAUCAUGAGCUUGCCGCUAGUCUUGGAUAAAUUUUGAUAACUGUCACUGAACUUAUCUAGUUGUAAUAUU
rnacentral:misc_RNA from 1 species